GAUAUACUAGGUAUUCAUUAUUAAAAUAAAAACAACCAAAAAAACAAUAGUUCUAGCUUGCUAAAGCAAGCCCAAUGAUCGCUCCAGCCUUCUACCAUCUGUAUUGGAAGCCAGCAAAUCAAAUUGAAAAAAAACAAAUAAAUCAAAAAAAUAAAUGGAAACCGACAAAGCAAUUAAUAGCCUAGGAAAAGUAAACCUAAUCUACCCAGUAUUCACACUUUAAUGGCUGCAAACCAUUAGUCUUGCACGACUUGUCUUAUCGUCUUUCUCACACAUUCCAUCCGGCUUUCUUUGCUAUCCUAUUUUGAAAAACAAAUUUCUCCUAAUCAAUUAGUCUAGAUUCCUUGCCCGUUGUUCUACUUCACCGCCAGUGUGCCGAAUCAGUUCUUCGCUCUCUAGGUGUGUAUUCUCUCCUUUCUUCAAUGAUUCACUUCCGAUAUUAUGAGCUCUCCUAUUUUUUGUUCUCUGAAAGUAUUUGAACUUGAUCUUUUGAAAGCAUGAUUUCUUGCUGUGGAUGUCUUCAAUAAUUGUUCCGAUAACUAAGUAAUCCCUUUUUGUCGACUGGAAUUUUUAAAUUAGUGUUCUUGAGUCACCCAAUAUCUGAACUUCCUGAAAACCCAUUUUGAUUCCUAACUUUACUACAUCCAUCCCUGCAUGUGCCUCUACUACGAACGGAGAUGCAAUAUUGGCAUGAAUGAUUGACUUUGAAACCAGAAACUCGUCCCUCGUGCCCCAAAUUACCAACCCUGACGUCGAUCUGUGCUCUUUGUAGUCAAACGCCACAUCAAAUUGAAUCUUCACCAUCAGUAUGUCUUCCCUCACACUUUGUUUAUUGACCGCUUUUGUUAAAAUCUUUUUUGCUCUAAUCCCCUCAAACUCUGUCAUAUGAUUCUGAAUCUGUUGGGUGAUGCUUUCACCUGUUGUGUUUGUCUUCUCAUGCAACAGCCGAUUCCUUGAAAACCAGAGCAUCCAUAAGGCAAAACAAAAGUAUCUGCAUUGCUCCUCCGACCCUUUUUGAAAACCUUGGUAAGCCAUUCCCAGAAAUUAAGUUGAAAAAUAUCUGUGACCCAUGAUAAAUUUACUAACUGCCAAACUUCGAAGCUUGUAGGGUAUUUCCUGAAGAUAUGAUAACAGUCCUCCACUUCAUAGCCACAACAAGGGCAUCUGACGUUGGACACUAUUCUUCUAUAUCUGAGAUUUCCCAAAGUAGGAAUAUAAUUCCAAGAGAUGCGCCAGAUUGUAAUUGUAACUUUAAGUGGUAGUUGCAGAUUCCAUAAUUUUCUAAAAAAGUCCUUAGAUUUGGUAUGUAAUAAAUAAUCACUAGGAUCUAGAUUAACAAUUUGUAAUAGUUUGUAAGCACUGCGAACUGAGCAUGUACCAGUUGGUUCACCCCUCUAAACUUGAAAAUCUUCGUGGUCAGAUUCUGAUAAUGGGAUCCGUAAGAUUGAUCGAGUCACCUCUAGUUGAAAGGUAUUGCUAAUUAACUCUACCCUCUAUUUCCUAUUAGUAUUAUCAAUAAGAUCUGAAACUAACUUUAUCCGCAUAUUUUCUAAAUUGUUUGGCCUUUCCAAUAAAUCAAUCCCCUAAAUCCAACAAUCAUCUCAAAUAGAUACCUUAUUUCCUCGCCCAAUUCUCCAGCAUAAUCCUUUUUCAAGGAGACUCUUGGUUGCCCAAAUGCUCUUCCAGGUAAGUGAAGGUAAAGUUCCUAACUGAGCCUCUAAGAAAUUUGAUCUCGGAUAGUAUUUUACUUUCAAAACCCUAGCUAAUAAUGAACAAGGAUAACUAAUCAAAUGCCAACCUUGUUUAGCAAGUAAUGCAAUAUUAAAUUAACUUAAAUUACGAAAAUAGAAGCCGCCAUUUUCUUUUAAAAAACAAAGGUUUUUCCAAAUACACCAAUGAAUUUCCCUCUUCCCCUGACCCUGUUGCCACCAAUACUUUGCUUAAAUACUUUCAAGCUCCUCACAUAGUGACUUAGGUAAUAAAAAACAGGCCAUCGAAUAGGUUGGAAGAGCUACCAAAAUUGCUUUAAUAAAAAGCUCUUUCCCACAUUGCGAAAGAAACCUGGUACUCUAGUUAUCUAUUCGUUUUUUAAUACGGUCUUUCAAAUUCUGAGAUGUAUCCUUUUUCCUCCUCCCUACCAUAUUUGGUAAACCAAUAUACCUCCCUGGCUUGUUAGAGCUACAAACACCCAGUAAAUUGACUACCCAAUUCUUGUCUUCCUCUGAAGUGUUCUUGUUGAAGAAAACUGUUAAUUUAUCAUAAUUCAUACACUGACCCGAACAACUUCUGUAUUCUUACAAAAUACUUUUUAAUGCUUACGUCCCUCUUCUUGUGGCUUCUUUGAAUCAAAUGCAAUCAUUUGCAAAUAAUAGAUGCAAAAUCAAAGGACCAGUUUUACUUACUUUCACUUAUUUCGAAUGCCCUUCUCUCGUUGCUAGUCUCAUUAAACUAGACAAACCCUCACCACAUAACAGAAAUAAGAAAUAACUUAAUGGGUCUCUCUGUCGAAGUCCUUUUGUUGGCUGGAACUUUCCUCUUAAUUGUCCAUUCAAAAUCACUGAAUAAGAGACUGUGGAAACACACUUCAUAAUCGCCUCAAUCCAUCUUGUUGCAAAACCUACCCGAGUCAUAACUUGCUCCAGAAAAUCCCAUUCCACUAUAUCAUACGCUUUGCUCAUGUCAAGUUUCACCACUAUGAACCCUUUCUUCCCCAUCCUCUUCUACUUCAACGUGUUUAAAACUUCAUAAGCUAUCAGCACGUUAUCAGAAAUUAAACGUCUCGGCACAAAAGCACUCUGUGCAUCAUCGAUAAAUUUGCCAAUUACAACACGAAAACGGUUCACAAUAGCCUUUGCCAAAAUUUUAUAUAGCACAUUACAUACGCUAAUUGGACAAAAAUACAUUAAAUUGGACGGGUUAGCGAUUUUUAGAAUAAGCACAAUAUUUGUAAAAUUUAGUAAACUAACCACCAUGCUACCAUUCAAGAGCUGUAAGCAAAACUCUGUUACUUCACUCCCAAUAAUGUGCCAACAUUUCUGAUAACACAAUCUAGGGAGACCAUCUUCAUUUGGAGCUUUUGUAGGUCCCAUCUCAAAUACCGCCAUUUGAAUUUCCUCUUUUGUAUAUUUAGCGGUAAGCAACUUAUGACCCUCAUCAUUAAUGCACCGAUCAAUACCUGAUAGCAAGUGUUCAUAAGAUCCUCUAUGUCCUAUCGAAAAAAACUUCUGAAAAUAUGAACAAACCACCUCCUCUAUUUCAUGUAGAACCUCCGUCUCCUCCCCAUCUUCAUUUACUAGCUUACGAAUAAGGUUUCGCUUCUUACGUUGUAUUGCUUGGCUAUGAAAAAACAUUGUAUUUUUGUCACCAAGUUUCAGCCAGUUCAGCCGAGCCUUUUGUUCCCAGUAUUGUUCAUCAUUUUCAAUCUCGAAAUUUAACUAUAUUUUUGUGUCAAGCAGCUCUGCCAAAUUGUUAUCAUCUCUCUCUUCUUCAUAUAAAUUAGCUAACUUAUUCGUAAGUACUUGUUUCUUCUUCUUCCUAUUGAAUUGUAUCUGUCUAGCCCAAACGUCCAAACCCUUUUUAAUAUUUUCUAGCUUUUCCAUCAAGUUCCCUGAAGAUGUCCCCCAAAUUCAUUCAACCUCAUUAAGAAAAGAUUCCUCCAAUAGCCACCAGGCUUCGAAUCUAAAAUUUAUGUUCUUCAGACAUCUCUCUUAUUUACUGGUAUUAAUCAAUAAGGGACAGUGAUCUGAAAAUGAGUGCAUCAAAUGUUGUACUUUCACUUCUGGAAACAAAGAUACCCAUUCAUUAUUUGCCACCCCUCUAUCCUGUCGUUCUCGUAUAUUUGUCUCCGGAAGAUUACCUCUCUCAUAAGUGAACCAUCUUCCAUAAUAACUAAUAUCUACCUAUUUACAUUCCUCCAAGGUUCUCCGAAAUAAAUCCAUCCUUCUUUCAUCCCUAGGCAGUCCUUAUUUCUUCUCAGACCCAUACAUUAUUUUAUUAAAAUCCCCACAAACGAACCAAUGACCAUCUCCAACAUUACUUAGGCUUUUCAAAACCUCCCAUGAAUUACUUCUCUCUUGUGCAUAAGAGGACCCAUAAAAACCUGUGAAUUGCCAUUUGACAAUCGCUUCAUUAUCCUCGACUUCCACAUCAAUAUGUCUUUUAGAGUAAGAUCGAAGAACAACUGACAUCUUUGUUCGCCAUGCUAAACAUAAAUCUCCUCUACUGCCUUCAGAAUCUACCUCAAGACCAUGCACAAAAUCGUAUUUUCUACGUACACGUUCCAUCUGCCUACUACCAAGUUUCGUCUCCAUAAAGAAGACAAUAUGGGGAUUACACGUCCUUAGCAAGUGCGGAAGUUGUCGAAUCGUCCGUGGCCUCCACAAACCACGGACAUUCCAACUCAAGAUUUUCAUUGCGACCAGUCGACUUGCCUCUUGGCAGCCACCGAUAAAAAUUGAUUGGAAUCCACCCUCCUUCUAUUCCCUUCAGUAGUAACAUCUCUUUCUGAUGUUUCCUCCAUCACUCCUCUAGCUCUCUUCUUCCCCUCCUCUCCAAUAAAAAUACCAUCCUCCAUAUUAUGCUCCAUAACUGAAUAUGAAAAAUCUGAUGAUAAAUUAACAUUCUGUCGGUCUAAAGUUGAUGAACCCCCUUCUAGAUUGAAACCUGAAACUAGAUCAAUGGUCAUUCCACAUCUGCCUUUAAUUGAAUCAUCCCAUAAUUUCUCAUUGAUCCCAACAAUUUUUCCCCUCUCAUUCACGUUGACUAUCAUUCUCCUCUCUAAGCCAAACACUAUUCAUCAACAAAACUAUUUGUGAUUGAGCCCGUAGAUAGAGAUCCCAACCUAACUCAGCAAAUUCCACCCCAAUUAGCAUCAUCUCUUCACAAAACGAAUCGCUAUGCCCCAGUCGACCAUAAUAGAAGCAGAGUAGAGAUAAACGUUCAUACUUGAAUCUAACGUAUGAACAUAUUCCAUUAAACAUAACUUGUUUCUUCCUCUUCAGUGGACGUCUAAUGUCAAUUUGAGCCCUUAUGUAACACCCCGAAUUUGGGCCUAAAAGUAUUGGGCCUUGAGUGCGGGUCCGUAUGGAGGUUGUAUAUAGGUAUUUAAUUGUGCAAUGAAAUAACACAAUUAAAUGUCUGCUUUGGUGGUUAAUGGCCCUGAGAAGUGUUAGAGAAAUCUUGGGUUCAAACUUGGGCUUUAGCAAAAAUUUUGGUAUUAAGUGAAAAAAACCUGGAUGCUUGGAUGAGGGUUUUUAAGUUAUUGUGUUAAAUAAAUGACACAAGAAAGCUUGUAGUCUAGUGGUUGUGGCGUCAUUAAGGUUGUAUGGGAGCCUGGGUUCAAGCCUUGGCUCUUACAAUUUAUUUUGGUUUUUUUAAGGGAACCUGGACUUUGGCCUUUUGACCUUGUAAUUAAUUGGGGAUAAAAUAUGACACAAAAAGCCUUGUGGCUUAGUGGCAAGUAGCGUGUGGAGCAUCUGAGGGGAGGCAUGGGUUCGAAUCCUAUAGCAAGCAAGGAACAUUUAUUUUACUAACAGGGGGCGGCAAGAGUUGGUGUUGAAUUUAAACUCUGAUGUUGGAGGGAUCCCACAUCGGGAAGCUAACAUAAGAGUGGUUGCGAAGCUGGCUUUAAAUAGAGGGAACCAUGAGGAGAGUAAAGGUACCUUUUCUUGGCUGAUCCCUUUCACUGUAUGGCAUGCUCGUUUGGGUUGGGCGUCGACUAAGAGUGUUCAGAGCGUGGAUUAACUCCAGUCUCCUAUCAGUAGUGUAUUUUCUCGCUACUCUAGCUGUAGGAUGGCUACUUCGGGCCGUGAUGGGCCGAAAAGGGUCAUGUCGGCCUAAUGAGCCUACGGGCCCAAUUGGAUAAGUUGUUUGAUUGUGUAGUAAAUAUUGGACUAGGCUAGGUGAAUCUCAUAUUUGUGGCUAGAUUUGGGCUAAAAGGGCCACACUAGCGUGUGGGCCCAUUUGGGCCGAGAAUAGGCUUUAGGCCCAUUCGUAUUGUUAUCCCUGUUUAGAAUACUUUAGUUUACCAAAUUACUGAAAUGCCCUCGAUUUGUAGAAUUACCAUUUUACCCUCGAUUUAUAGAAUUACCGUUUCACCCUCGAUUUACAAAAUUACUAUUUUACCCUCGAUUUAUAGAAUUACCAUUUUACCCUCGAUUUAUAGAAUUACCAUUUUACCCUCGAUUUAUAGAAUUAUCGUUUUACCCUCGAUUUAUAAAAUUACCAUUUUACCCUCAAUUUAAAAAAUUGGCGUUUUGCCCUCGAUUGUGAAAUUACUGAAAUACCCCUAUAAGAUAAAAUUACCAAAAUACCCCUAGUUUGUAAAAUUACCAAAAUACCCCUAGUUUGUAAAAUUACCAAAAUACCCCUAGUUUGUAAAAUUACCGAAAUACCACUGGUUUGUGAAAUUACCGAAAUACCCUCAAUUUGUAAAAUUACCAAAAUACCCUUAAUUUACAAAAUUACAGAAAUACCCUUGACUUUCUAAAAAUUAUAGAAAUACCAUUGGUUUACAAAAUUACUGAAAUACCAUUGGUUUGUAGAUUUACCAAAACACCCUUGUAGGAUGAAAUGACUAAAAUACCCCUAAUAGGUAAAAAGACCGUAAAGCCCUUGUAGGGUAAAGUGACCGUAAUACCCUUGUAUGGUAAAAUGACGAAUAUGCCCUUAUGUUCCGUAUGACUGAUGUGCUUAGGAUUUACAUAUAUUGAUAUUGGAUUAGUUAAGUUUGAGUGACAGGUGGUGGUUAUCGUAGGUGAUUGAUUAUGGAAACGUUUCAACUCAACCCAUAACAGGUGUGUACUAACCCUCGUAGUAGCUUAGAUUAAUAUCUGCUGAGAAUCUGAAAUGCUAAAAUACCGACAUUUCGGGAACUUGUAAUGUUGCGUGUGGGUAUAGAUGCGAUAAAUAUGAUAAGAUCGGUGUUUGGGUAGAUGGAACGGGUAAGAACUCAAUUUUGUGCACCAUGGUAAGUUGGGCCUCAAUGGGCAGGAAUUGAACCAAAUGGGCUUUUGGGCCCAUUUGGGUAAAAUUGAUAGAAAAUGGAAUUUGGAAAAGUUUCAUGUUAACACGGUUAGUAUUGCUGUAAAAUUUGGGUUAAGCAGGCUUAGUGGGCUAAAUCAGCAUUCGUAAGGCUCAUUAGGGGUUUUGGGCCCAAAAGCCCGAACUUGAUAAGUGGGUUAAAGAUCAUUGUUUAAACACUCAGAAAUAUUGAAAAUUGUAAUGAACAUGGAAAACCCUGAUUUUUGGUAAAAUUACGAAAAUACCCUUAUAAUAUGAAAAAUGACUGUUUUGCCCUUGUGGGCAAGUGACUGACUUGGACUGUGUGGUUGACGGAUUUGAUUGUGAAUAUAUGUUGGUUAUAUGAAUGACUUGACUAUGAUUGUUUGAUUCAAAUAUGGGCAUGACAUUUUGCAUACAUGACAUAUUGCAUGGGAUAUGGGUUAUAUUGAUGGAGGAAGUGCUAAAAGGGCUCUGCCCCAGUUUACCGAAAAGGGCUUUGCCCCAGUUUAUCAGAAAGGGCUUUACCCCAGUUAUUAAAAGAGGCUAGGCCUCCAGUUAUAUGAUAAAGCAGCUAUGCUGCCAGUGGAGAGUUUGGUUGGGUGGGUUGAGUUAUUCCCUACAUGGAGAGCUUGGUUGGUACGGGUGGAGAGUAGCGGAUGGUGGGUCGAGUAGUCUCCCCAAAUGGGCUUGCAUACAUUCAUUGACAUUACAUGUGAUAUUGAAAUGGGCUUGCUACAUCCAUUGACAUUACAUGUGAUAUUGAAAUGGGCCUAAGGGCCAUACCAUUUACAGUAAAGGCUUCGGCUCAGUGAUAUGAUUUAUGAAAAGACUUCGGCCCAGUGAUAUUAUUUAUGGAAAGGCUUCGACCCAGUAUAUGUCAAGACUAAAUAGGGCUUUGGCCCAGAUUGUACUAAUACCGUGUUAUUUACUGUUUGUUUGUUAUUGGGAUUACACACUGAGUUUUCGUAAACUCACCCCGUUUCUAACUGUGCAGGUAAUCCCUAAGCUUAGAUGGUUUGGAGCUGCGAGGGACUCGGAGAUGGCCACACUACUGUUUCUGUUUCUUUUAAUUGCAAUAAGUAGCUGAUUUAUGUCUUUAUAAGUUUUAUCUUAUUAAUAUUAUUAUUUGGUUUUGGGUUGUAAUAAGGCCAUUUUAAUUAUUUUUCUGGGAUUAUUUUAUCUUAUACCCUAUAUUUUUCUGAUAACAAUAUUAGUUAGACCUAGGGCGCGUUUCCAAAAUGAUAAUUGUUUUCAAAAUAACGCAAUGAUACAAUUAAUCGGUUUAUCAAAAAUAUCUACU
rnacentral:lncRNA from 1 species